AGUGAACGCUGGCGGUAGGCCUAACACAUGCAAGUCGAACGGCAGCACAGUAAGAGCUUGCUCUUACGGGUGGCGAGUGGCGGACGGGUGAGGAAUACAUCGGCAUCUACUUUUUCGUGGGGGAUAACGUAGGGAAACUUACGCUAAUACCGCAUACGACCUACGGGUGAAAGCAGGGGAUCUUCGGACCUUGCGCGAUUGAAUGAGCCGAUGUCGGAUUAGCUAGUUGGCGGGGUAAAGGCCCACCAAGGCGACGAUCCGUAGCUGGUCUGAGAGGAUGAUCAGCCACACUGGAACUGAGACACGGUCCAGACUCCUACGGGAGGCAGCAGUGGGGAAUAUUGGACAAUGGGCGCAAGCCUGAUCCAGCCAUACCGCGUGGGUGAAGAGGGCCUUCGGGUUGUAAAGCCCUUUUGUUGGGAAAGAAAAGCAGCAGGUUAAUACCCCGCUGUUCUGACGGUACCCAAAGAAUAAGCACCGGCUAACUUCGUG
rnacentral:rRNA from 1 species